UUUUGAUUGGCUACGUAAGUAAUCUAUCAGGAUUACGCAAGCGAGGGGUGGUUCUUUGGGGAGGAAGUGAAGAUUAUUUUGGUGCCUCCUGUCCCAACUACGAUUGGUUGAGAUUUACCGUGAUGUAAAACGAGGCGUAAAAAUGUCCACUAAAGGAAAGGGCCUAUUGGCCCUUUUCUGAGGGACGAAGUCUAGGGUGGAACUGGGAGGGCCCAGCCGGACUCUGUUAUUGUAAGGAAGGACCAGAUUAACUGAGACCCGGAAAUGAGUUUAGAAGGGAAUUGAAGGAAAAAGAGGGAAAUCCGCGGCACCUUCGUUGCCCUCAAACAAGGUCAUUUCCUGCAUGGGAUCGAUAAUUUCCUGUUUACAGCGAAGUCAGUGUGUCCUGGCUCUCCGGAUUACACGUGGUAGUUCGAUUCUUAUGAGCCUUUGGUCCUAGAUUUACGUGGUGGUGCGUUGUCUAGGGGGUUUAUAGGCAGUUGAGAGACCAAGUUAGGGAUGUGGAUCCACCAGAUGGUCUCUAAGUGUUUAUUUUUAAAGAGACACUAAGUUUCUUAUCAGUUUUCUAGACUAUUUUGUGGAGUUAACAUAAGAAAUUUAUUGUUUUGAUCCUUUCUCAGAGUAGCAGUUUCUCGGUUUGGGAGCACAUCAGUCAAGGCUGCUUGUUUUGCCUACAAGUUUUGGUAGGGGUCUUUUUCCAGAGGCCCUCACCCUACUCUGACUACACCCACGGUCCCUGUCUCACUUGGAUCACAGUAUCGAAAUGAGCUCCUAAAGAAACCAUUCAUAUUUGGAGAGGGUGGGUGGAGGUGAAGAGAACUGUGAAGACUUAUCAAGUUAAUGACGUACAGAAACUGGCCAAAGCAGAAAUUGUCUCUGAGGGGACCUGGAACCCAGAACUAAGGAAGAAAACACUUAUUGUUCCUAAUCACAGAUCCAUGCCCUCCAGCAUGUCAAGAGAAACCAGUGGCAUCUUGAUUGGUGAGAACAUGAGAAGCUCUGUCCGAUAGAAUCUUGAGCCUAAGGAAAAUCUUCACCCUCCGAGGGCCUAACUGCCCCCUCCUUCCAAAUCCCCCACUGUGAAACACAGUUAUCUGACACAGAUAUCUGGAGUUUCUUUCCUCUCUGGAGGCCCAAGGAACAGCUACAAGGCCUCAGAAGACCAAGAUGAAAGUACCGGGUUAUACCACGUUUGGAAUUUACGGAAAGAGAAGAAAAGAGAAGACCGGGAUAUGGGGGAACUGGUAGAGGCACAGAAGGGACACUGACUGUUGCUCAGUCAUGUAUUCUAUCGGACUGGGUUGAUUGCAGUAACAGAAACUAUUUUAAGCAGAAAAGACCUGAAUACAGGGACACAGGUGCUUACAAAAUUGUCCCAAGAAUGAACUAUUAAACUCACUCACCAUAGAAGCUCCAGAAAGGGGAAGAAUCAAGACUGUAUCACUGAACUGAAAGACUAAACAACAAAUGCUGGCGAGGAUGCGGAGAAAGGGGAACCCUCCUACACUGCUGGUGGGAAUGUAAGCUAGUUCAACCAUUGUGGAAAGCAGUAUGGAGGCUCCUCAAAAAACUACAAAUAGAAAUACCAUUUGACCUGGGAA